GACGAACGCUGGCGGCGUGCUUAACACAUGCAAGUCGAGCGGAAAGGCCCUUCGGGGUACUCGAGCGGCGAACGGGUGAGUAACACAUGAGUAACCUGCCCCAGACUUUGGGAUAACCCUCGGAAACGGGGGCUAAUACCGGAUACGACACAGCUUCGCAUGGGGUCUGUGUGGAAAGUUUUUCGGUUUGGGAUGGGCUCGCGGCCUAUCAGCUUGUUGGUGGGGUGAUGGCCUACCAAGGCGACGACGGGUAGCCGGCCUGAGAGGGCGACCGGCCACACUGGGACUGAGACACGGCCCAGACUCCUACGGGAGGCAGCAGUGGGGAAUAUUGCACAAUGGGCGGAAGCCUGAUGCAGCGACGCCGCGUGAGGGAUGACGGCCUUCGGGUUGUAAACCUCUUUCAGCAGGGACGAAGCGUAAGUGACGGUACCUGCAGAAGAAGCGCCGGCCAACUACGUG
rnacentral:rRNA from 1 species